AUGAGGAAACGACAUCAUUUUAGUGUUAGGGUUAUAUUUAUUACUUUCAAACUACUAAAAGCAAACAAUAUUCUCUUCUCUUAUCUCUUCAUUGGUGCCAGAAUCUCAAACUUCUUCCUCUCAUGUUUAGACAACCUUUCUUCUUCACCGUACAAUUUCGUUCUCACCACCACUAAGCUCCACCAAUAUCCGUCUCAAACUCUUCGUCUCAAUCAUUCCGAGUUCGCUUCCAUUCUUCUCAAUGGCUCAAACCUUCGUUCGUCAACCUUAACAACAUGGUGGUCGCAGUUUCUCUCUUUCAAAGCUCCGUCUCCUAUCAAUCUUCGUCUAUAA